GCUGAAAUAGCUCAGUUGGGAGAGCGUUAGACUGAAGAUUUUAAGGUCCCUGGUUCGAUCCCGGGUUUCGGCA
rnacentral:tRNA from 1 species